rnacentral:rRNA from 1 species
CCUACGGGAGGCAGCAGUGAGGAAUAUUGGUCAAUGGGCUUACGCCUGAACCAGCCAAGUCGCGUGAGGGAAGACUGCCCUAUGGGUUGUAAACUUCUUUUAUAUGGGAAUAAAAUGUUCCACGUGUGGGAUUUUGUAUGUACCAUAUGAAUAAGGAUCGGCUAACUCCGUGCCAGCAGCCGCGGUAAUACGGAGGAUCCGAGCGUUAUCCGGAUUUAUUGGGUUUAAAGGGAGCGUAGGUGGAUUGUUAAGUCAGUUGUAAAAGUUUGCGGCUCAACCGUAAAAUUGCAGUUGAAACUGGCAGUCUUGAGUACAGUAGAGGUGGGAGGAAUUCGUGGUGUAGCGGUGAAAUGCUUAGAUAUCACGAAGAACUCCGAUUGCGAAGGCAGCUCACUGGACUGCAACUGACACUGAGGCUCGAAAGUGUGGGUAUCAAACAGGAUUAGAUACCCCUGUAGUC